rnacentral:rRNA from 1 species
AAUCGGAAUUACUGGGCGUAAAGCGCAUGCAGGCGGCCUGUUAAGUCAGAUGUGAAAGACCCGGGGCGUUAACCUCCGGAAAUUGCAUUUGAAACUGGCAGGCUAGAGUCUUGUUAGAGGGGGGUAGGAAUUUCAGGUGUAGCGGUGAAAUGCGUAGAGAUCUGAAGGAAUACCAGUGGCGAAGGCGGCCCCCUGGACAAAGACUGACGCUCAGAUGCGAAAGCGUGGGGAGCAAACAGGAUUAGAUACCCUGGUAG